rnacentral:rRNA from 1 species
AGAGUUUGAUCCUGGCUCAGAGCGAACGCUGGCGGCAGGCCUAACACAUGCAAGUCGAGCGCCCCGCAAGGGGAGCGGCAGACGGGAGAGUAACACGUGGGAACGUGCCCUUCAGUUCGGAACAACCCAGGGAAACUUGGGCUGAUACCGGAUACGUCCGUAAGGAGAAAGAUUUAUCGCUGAAGGAUCGGCCCGCGUCU